AUUGAACGCUGGCGGCAUGCCUUACACAUGCAAGUCGAACGGCAGCACGGGUGCUUGCACCUGGUGGCGAGUGGCGAACGGGUGAGUAAUACAUCGGAACAUGUCCUGUAGUGGGGGAUAGCCCGGCGAAAGCCGGAUUAAUACCGCAUACGAUCUACGUAUGAAAGCUGGGGACCUUCGGACCUCGCGCUAUAGGGUUGGCCGAUGGCUGAUUAGCUAGUUGGUGGGGUAAAGGCCUACCAAGGCAACGAUCAGUAGCCGGUCUGAGAGGACGACCAGCCACACUGGAACUGAGACACGGCCCAGACUCCUACGGGAGGCAGCAGUGGGGAAUUUUGGACAAUGGGCGAAAGCCUGAUGCAGCAAUGCCGCGUGUGUGAAGAAGGCCUUCGGGUUGUAAAGCACUUUUAUCAGGAAAGAAAUCCUUGGCACUAAUACGGUCGGGGGAUGACGGUACCGGAAGAGUAAGCACCGGCUAACUACGUG
rnacentral:rRNA from 1 species